rnacentral:tRNA from 1 species
GUUUUAAUAAUUUAAUCAAAAUAUUGGUCUUGUAAAUCAAAUAUGGGAACACCCUUAAAACU